GGGUUGAGCAGUUAAAACAAGGGAUCAACUCUUGUGGAAAACUUUGGGAAACUUUGGAGAGUGUCAUUUGGAGUGAUAAGGGGACAAACAACAAGGAAGCUGAAAAGGACACUAUGUUUGCAUGGGAAUGUCUUCUGAACAGUGUGCAAGAAUAAAACACAUUUGAGGACCUGUUGGUGUUUGCUACGGGAGCGGAUGCAGUACCACCUAUUGGUUUUCCCCUGUGACUUCAAAUAUAGUUUUUUGACCAGGAAAUAAGGGGCAAUCGUUUUCCUCAACUUUCUCUGUGACACUGUUCCUUCCUCACGGUGUACAGAAUGAAAGUGAGCUGCUUGAUCUGAUGGCUGAUGUUGUCCUUAGUUAGUAUUUGGAAAAGUUUAGGCUAUAUCUCUAGCCAGCUGCAGCAAGUUUAAAAGAAAGAGUCUGGAACAUUUUCAUAGCUAGUUUCAUGUUUG